AGAUAAACAGAGAGUCAGAGACUGAGGAGUGCAGAUAUCUUCGGUGGCGGUGGACGUGGUGGUGAAUCUCCAUAAAUAGAUAUAAAACAUUUGAUGCAGCAGACUGACAAAUGUUUGAUUCGCAUACAGGAAUCUCCAUAGAUAGGGGUGGAAGACAUCAAACAACUUGAUUUGCAAGAAGAAGACAACUAUUUCUUUGUUGCUUGGGAAUAUGGCCAAGGGUCUGUUAUGGGCAACAGCUGAGGACUUGGCAAGGAAUAGAGGAAGAGUCCUCUCUCUAUAUCGUCAGAUAUUAAGAAGCCUCAAUUCUCCUAAACUUCCCAUGAACUUAGCAGCCAGAUUGGCUAAGAAAGCAGAGGCUCGUGCUAUCUUCAUGCUGGGCGCAGAAGAAGAAUCCCUGCACAACAUUGAGGACCUAAUUGAUACCGGAGAGUACGCGCUUUCUCUUUUAAGAAAAGGAGAAAUUCCUAAAUACAUUCAAUGAGUGCACCACUGAAGGAUUUCACACUGUUCUUCAAAUUUUAUUUAUGUCAAAUUUUGUACAAGAAAAACAAAAGAGGAAAUGUAGCUUUUAACGGAUGAAUUCUAAAUAUCUUUCAUACUGUCUAGCUACUGUAAUAUGCUAAAAAUAAGUUGGAACGUC